ACAGCCAUAGGGGAUGGAACUGAUUGGAUACUACAGCCAUAGGGGAUGGAACUGAUUGGAUACUACAGCCAUAGGGGAUGGAACUGAUUGGUUACUACAGCCAUAGGAGAUGGAACUGAUUGGUUACUACAGCCAUAGGGGAUGGAACUGAUUGGAUACUACAGCCAUAGGGGAUGGAACUGAUUGGAUACUACAGCCAUAGGGGAUGGAACUGAUUGGAUACUACAGCCAUAGGGGAUGGAACUGAUUGUGAAUGCACACAGGUGCAGAUAAGAGGUCAAUCUCAGUUGGGCACUCCACCAGCUGUACAGAGGAAGAACGCCUUGCCAGAAGAUCCUCAAAGUGUUUGGGGUACAGACCUUCCAAAGAUUUCUGGUUGAACACAUUGCCAUAGACAUCCAAUAUCUUGUUGAUUUCCC
rnacentral:lncRNA from 1 species